rnacentral:rRNA from 1 species
GACGAACGCUGGCGGCGUGCCUAACACAUGCAAGUCGAGCGGAGAUAAGAAGCUUGCUUCUUAUCUUAGCGGCGGACGGGUGAGUAACGCGUGGGUAACUUGCCCUAUACAGGGGGAUAACACAGAGAAAUUUGUGCUAAUACCGCAUAAAGUCAUAGAUGGGCAUCCAUAGAUGAUCAAAGGAGAAAUCCGGUAUGGGUUAGACCCGCGUCCGAUUAGCUAGUUGGUGGGGUAACGGCUCACCAAGGCGACGAUCGGUAGCCGAACUGAGAGGUUGAACGGCCACAUUGGGACUGAGACACGGCCCAGACUCCUACGGGAGGCAGCAGUGGGGAAUAUUGCGCAAUGGGGGAAACCCUGACGCAGCAACGCCGCGUGAAGGAUGAAGGUUUUCGGAUUGUAAACUUCUUUGAUUGGGGACGAAACAAAUGACGGUACCCAAAGAACAAGCCACGGCUAACUACGUGCCAGCCGCCGCUGUAAUAC